rnacentral:rRNA from 1 species
UACGAAGGGGGCAAGCGUUGUUCGGAAUUACUGGGCGUAAAGGGCUCGUAGGUGGCCAACUAAGUCGGACGUGAAAUCCCUCAGCUUAACUGGGGAACUGCGUCCGAUACUGGAUGGCUCGAGUUUGGGAGAGGGAUGCGGAAUUCCAGGUGUAGCGGUGAAAUGCGUAGAUAUCUGGAGGAACACCGGUGGCGAAAGCGGCAUCCUGGACCAACACUGACACUGAGGAGCGAAAGCCAGGGGAGCAAACGGG